AAGCAGAAUUUAUUUAUUUAUUAUUAUAACUUCAAGAUGGAUUUUAAAUUGUGUAAUCAGAGUUGCUUCACUUAGAUGCGCAGCUAUGAAAAGAAAAAAAAACCUCAAGUGUCCUAAAGAAGUUGUUGUAUGUUUCUUUUUUUCUGCUGAGGUCAAGUUCAUUAUUGUAACUUUGUGUUUUUCAUAGUGCCACUGCCAGAUGACAUUAAAAUUACUAAUACAGAAGUAGAUUAAAAGAACAUGAUUAAGAUUGCAAAGUCAGGAAAAAUCAUAAUUAAGGUUGCCUGUGCAAUUUUAACUCAGUUCCUGUGUGGAUAUCCAUCCUGAUAAGAGUGUUUAAUUACGUAGCCAUGGUCUUUAUUAUUAUUAUUUUUUUUCCUCAGGACUCUUCCCAAUCACUGAGCACCAUCUUACUGACUCCUCUUAAAACGUGUUGUUUUGUCUGUAAAAAAGCAUAA
rnacentral:lncRNA from 1 species